rnacentral:rRNA from 1 species
UACGUAGGGGGCGAGCGUUGUCCGGAUUUAUUGGGCGUAAAGAGCUCGUAGGCGGCUUGGCAAGUCGGGUGUGAAACCUCCAGCUCAACCUGGAGACGCCACUCGAUACUGCCAUGGCUAGAGUCCGGGUAGGGGACCACGGAAUUCCUGGUGUAGCGGUGAAAUGCGCAGAUAUCAGGAGGAACACCGGUGGCGAAGGCGGUGGUCUGGGCCGGCACUGACGCUGAGGAGCGAAAGCGUGGGUAGCAAACAGG